GUGUCAGCCGCCGCGGUAAUACGGAGGGAGCAAGCGUUACUCGGAAUUAUUGGGCGUAAAGGGCGCGUAGGCGAUUUGACAUGUCUUAUGUGAAAGCCCAGAGCUUAACUCUGGAAGUGCAUAAGAAACUGUUGAAUUUGAGUACAGGAGAGGAAGGCAGAAUUCCCGGUGUAGCGGUGAAAUGCGUAGAUAUCGGGAGGAAUACCAGUGGCGAAGGCGGCCUUCUGGACUGUAACUGACGCUGAGGCGCGAAAGCUAGGGGAGCAAACGGGAUUAGAAACCCCCGUAGUCC
rnacentral:rRNA from 1 species